CUCUGCAGACCCGCUGUUCAACCCAUGCGGGACCCAUUGAUAAUGAGUCAGCCGUCACUCUGUGAGUAGCCUACGCUUCAGUCCAUCGCACUCUUCCUCUCUCCCUCUCUCUCUCUAUGUCUUUUUGU